AUUGAACGCUGGCGGCAUGCUUUACACAUGCAAGUCGAACGGUAACAGGUUAAGCUGACGAGUGGCGAACGGGUGAGUAAUGCAUCGGAACGUGCCCGGUCGUGGGGGAUAACGCAGCGAAAGCUGCGCUAAUACCGCAUACGAUCUGAGGAUGAAAGCGGGGGACCGUAAGGCCUCGCGCGAUCGGAGCGGCCGAUGUCAGAUUAGGUAGUUGGUGGGGUAAAGGCCCACCAAGCCGACGAGCUGUAGCUGGUCUGAGAGGACGACCAGCCACACUGGGACUGAGACACGGCCCAGACUCCUACGGGAGGCAGCAGUGGGGAAUUUUGGACAAUGGGCGAAAGCCUGAUCCAGCAAUGCCGCGUGCAGGAAGAAGGCCUUCGGGUUGUAAACUGCUUUUGUACGGAGCGAAAAGGUCCUUUCUAAUACAAGGGGCUCAUGACGGUACCGUAAGAAUAAGCACCGGCUAACUACGUGCCAGCAGCCGCCGCCG
rnacentral:rRNA from 1 species